UACGAAGGGGGGCUAGCGUUGUUCGGAUUUACUGGGCGUAAAGCGCACGUAGGCGGACUAUUAAAGUCAGGGGUGAAAUCCCGGGGCUCAACCCCGGAACUGCCUUUGAUACUGGUAGUCUUGAGUUCGAGAGAGGUGAGUGGAAUUCCGAGUGUAGAGGUGAAAUUCGUAGAUAUUCGGAGGAACACCAGUGGCGAAGGCGGCUCACUGGCUCGAUACUGACGCUGGAGGUGCGAAAGCGUGGGGAGCAAACAGG
rnacentral:rRNA from 1 species